ncrna:unclassified sequences IS605-orfB-II RNA
CAUGAUGGGGUUUAUAUCUCGGAUUGUAUAGAGGGUAGUUGCAGUCACCUCAAUCCUGUUUAUUAUGAUUUUAAGUAAUCCGCUGAUAAAAUAAAUGGAAAACAAAUUUCGUGUGAAUUUGGAAAAGUUUAAAACUAUUAAGUUUUAAACUAACUGU